UACGAAGGGGGCUAGCGUUGCUCGGAAUCACUGGGUGUAAAGCGCACGUAGGCGGCUUUCUAAGUCAGGGGUGAAAUCCUGGAGCUCAACUCCAGAACUGCCUUUGAUACUGGGGAGCUCGAGUCCGGAAGAGGUGAGUGGAACUCCGAGUGUAGAGGUGAAAUUCGUAGAUAUUCGGAAGAACACCAGUGGCGAAGGCGGCUCACUGGUCCGGUACUGACGCUGAGGUGCGAAAGCGUGGGGAGCAAACAGG
rnacentral:rRNA from 1 species